rnacentral:misc_RNA from 1 species
UUUCCGUAGGUGAACCUGCGGAAGGAUCAUUAUUGUACAACAUGUCAGGGGCAUGAGUCUUCUAUCCCUGACCCAAAAGUCGCCCACGCCCCAGUUUGUCCACUUGCAUAAUAAUCCAGCUCACCCUUUGUACAUCACCACAUUGGCACCCUUGGAGAUCAUCUCUGACGGAGGCUCGCAUUUUGACACAAACCCCCCUUGUAAAAGUGUAAAAUGACCUCAUUCAUCCGAUCAAUACAACUUUCCACAACUUAUCUCUUGUCUCUCGCAUCGAUGACA